CCUACGGGGGGCUGCAGUAAGGAAUAUUGCGCAAUGGGCGACAGCCUGACGCAGCGACGCCGCGUGGGGGAUGAAGGUCUUCGGAUUGUAAACCCCUUUCGGCAGGGAAGAUGGAACGGGUAACCGUUCGGACGGUACCUGCAGAAGCAGCCACGGCUAACUUCGUGCCAGCAGCCGCGGUAAUACGACGGUGGCAAGCGUUGUUCUGAUUUACUGGGCGUGAGGGGAGCGGAGUGGGUUGGCUAAGCCCGAAAUCUCCGGGCCUAACCCGGAAAGUGCGGAGGGGACUGCGCGGCUAGAGGAUGGGAGAGGAGCGCGGAAUUCCCGGUGUAGCGGUGAAAUGCGUAGAGAUCGGGAGGAAGGCCGGUGGCGAAGGCGGCGCUCUGGAACAUUUCUGACGCUGAGGCUCGAAAGCGUGGGGAGCAAACAGGAUUAGAUACCCCUGUAGUC
rnacentral:rRNA from 1 species